GAUGAACGCUAGCUACAGGCUUAACACAUGCAAGUCGAGGGGAAACGAUAUUGGAAGCUUGCUUCUGAUAGGCGUCGACCGGCGCACGGGUGAGUAACGCGUAUCCAACCUGCCCACCACUUGGGGAUAACCUUGCGAAAGUAAGACUAAUACCCAAUGAUAUCUCAAGAAGACAUCUGAAUGAGAUUAAAGAUUUAUCGGUGAUGGAUGGGGAUGCGUCUGAUUAGCUUGUUGGCGGGGUAACGGCCCACCAAGGCGAAGAUCAGUAGGGGUUCUGAGAGGAAGGUCCCCCACAUUGAAACUGAGACACGGUCCAAACUCCUACGGGAGGCAGCAGUGAGGAAUAUUGGUCAAUGGGCGAGAGCCUGAACCAGCCAAGUAGCGUGCAGGAUGACGGCCAUAUGGGUUGUAAACUGCUUUUAUAAGGGAAUAAAGUGGGCCUCGUGAGGCUUUUUGCAUGUACCUUAUGAAUAAGGACCGGCUAAUUCCGUGCCAGCAGCCGCCGUAA
rnacentral:rRNA from 1 species